rnacentral:rRNA from 1 species
UACGUAGGGUGCGAGCGUUGUCCGGAAUUAUUGGGCGUAAAGGGCUCGUAGGCGGUUUGUCGCGUCGGGAGUGAAAUCCACUGGCUUAACUGGUGGCUUGCUUUCGAUACGGGCAGACUGGAGGUAUGCAGGGGAGAACGGAAUUCCUGGUGUAGCGGUGAAAUGCGCAGAUAUCAGGAGGAACACCAGCGGCGAAGGCGGCGCUCUGGGCUGGAACUGACGCUGGGGAGCGAAAGCGUGGGGAGCGAACAGG